UGGGGGCAGGCAGGAGGAGGUGCACCUCACCCCGCGCUCUCAGCAAAUGCGGGCCUGCUGCAAACCUCACGCAUCCCCCACCAGCUUUCAGGAAUGCUGGCCAGACUCACGGCUGGGAAGGAAGAUGACCAACUAUGCCCCAGAACCAACAGGCCAGUCCUGACAUCAGAAGCCCCACUGUUUCCUGGAUGGAAGCUGCUGGCCCCUUUUACUUGUAGGGCCCAGAGCAGACUGCGGACCACACGUGGAAUAAGAACACCAGGCCAUGUUUGUGUGCCCUGCCAGACUUUGCAUUAUGUGUCCUUGUCACGAUAUUCAGACAGGUUGGGGCUCAGUGGCAGCACCCACAGCACAAGGGGCUGGACGGAGCUGGGGGACAGACAGCAGAACAUCAGGGCCCUGGAAUCAGCCACCCUUCCUACAACUUGCACAGCAGAUCGUUCAAGUUUUGAGAAUCUCGUGAGCUGGUUAACAUCCUGUUGGUAGCUUGCCACCUGCCACGUGGGCGUGUUUGCACCAAAGAAAUUGACACUUGCUACAAACCACUCCAAUCAGAGUGAAAAGGGUUCAAACGGAGAGCAGAUACAUCUCACCCACCAAGACCUGCUCCACAUUCAAGGGACACCCUGGAAGCCCCUCGAGGCUCCAUGCCCAUCACCCCAGGGGACCCGGGGAAGCCACAGCCCCUCCCCUCUUCCACACCCUCCCAGGCAAGCUGGCCCCUCUCCUGCUUCUCCCCCUCACCAAGCCAGGGCCGCGGCACGGGCAGCACAGUGCCCACGGCCCCCACCAGCUGCUCAGUGGGGGCAGCGCUGAGCCAGCUCGCGCUAAUGGCACUGAGGGUGGGUCUUCACCACCAGAAAGCCGUGGGAGCCUAGAGCAAACCUGGGUCAUCCCUCACGCCCCACUGCCCCACCCCCAGCAGGUCAGCAAGUGCAAACUUGGCCUGAGCACCGCCACUACCUGUGGGGAUCUCCCCAGUGGCCUGCCCUCCCUACAUGUCCUGCAGGUGGAUGGGUGCCCAGCACCUAGCACUGCUGCUGCUGCAGGUGCAUGGCAUAGAAAGCCAGGAAACAGGGUGCAGCCAGGGCCUAAAUAAUGACCUGGGGGGACAUGGGCCAAAGUGCAGGCUGGCCUCCUCCAAGCAUGAGGACGGGCAGGCAUGCUCAGUGCAGAGACAGGCUCAGGCUGCCAGCAGGACUUGAGGCCUGCCCCACGGCCUCCCUCCUCCAGCUCUGGCCACCGCUCCAAACGUUUGGCUGAGCAGGAAGCCAGCUCUGACCACAAACACGGGAAUGCAUCCCCCAAACCUAUCUUGAGGUAAGUGCCCAGGGGCAGCACAUCAGCUGCCACAGGCCUGAGCCAGGCACUUGGAGGGGCUUCCUGGACUCUGCCGCACACCAGCCCCCUGCCACUGCCCACCACUGCCAGGGGAUCCCAGACUACACACCAGCCCAACCCCUCCCCCCACUGCCCACCACUGCCAGGGGAUCCCAGACCGCACACCAGCCCACCCCCCUCUCCCCACUGCCCACCACUGCCAGGGGAUCCCAGACCACAUUGCUGGAGCUCUGAGCAGAGUGCCUGGUGCUGGCACGUGCUCCCUGAGGGCCAGUGGUCACUACAGGCCACAGGAGUCCUUCCACAGUGGCCCGAAGCGAAUCCUGCCUCCAGCUCGACAUCACCCACCCCGGCAGAGUCCGUGAGGCUCAGGGGAGACACGUGCAGAAAGGGCUGGGCACUCUCCAGCACACGGGUGUCCACACUCUGCGGUACUGACGGUCAGACAAUGGUGUGACAGACACUGCCGAGCACACAGGAGAGCCACAGGCCACCUUGGGAAGCCCCCGGCGGGAGGCAGCGGACAGAAAAGGACCUCCUGGGGGCCCACAGCCGGCAGGCAUCAAGCCCACCGCCACACACGCCAGCCCACGAGGACAGGGGCUUUCACCCUCUGCUUGCGUUUCUGAACAGGGCCAGCUAUGAACUGAAAGUAGGGGACAGAGUGCAAAGUGACGUGGGGUUCAAGACGGUGUGAGGUACGGCUGCCGUGGAGUCAUGCAACACCAGCUCUCAGGGGGUCUGCCUGUCUCCCCAGACACCCAGACGCCCUGGGAUCCUUCGGUGUCCUCAGGAACAGCCUCCCCCCGUGACGUGUCCAGCACCCAACCCAUCCCUUGCCCCCUGUGAUGGCCCCGCCACCCUCGGGCCCGGCCCUUACUGCUGCCCUCCAGGGUCAGGCCAGUGGGAGCUGACAGUGGCAAAAACACCAAGAAGUAUGUUGAGUGGUCAGUCACGGCCACAAGCCCUUCACCCCUGCUGAUGCUGAGACGCUCGUGUGACCAGAGGUCAGAGUGGCCGUGUCCACUCAGAUGACAACACUGAGGCUCCUCCCCCCUCGGGGUACUUUGGGCAUUCGGGGACAUAAGCUACGGUGGGGGGUAGGCAGCUAAAGAAUGAGAUGGCCCUGCGGUCACCACACCAACAUCAAAGACACUGGCAAGGGGGGCCAUGCAGAGGGCGGCAAGGAGCACCCACUAAGCCUGCCACACCAGAGUUCAGAACUCGGCUCCUCUCACUGGCUGACCUCCAGGACUGCUGUCACCUACUGAGUGCUCCCAACCCAACCCCACGGACAGACACGGGUGCCGUGGCUUCCUACCCACAAGGAUGUAGGGGCCAGGGACAUCCUGGCCAAUGGCUAGGGAGCUGGGUGACAUGGGCAUGCUGGGCUGGAAAAGGAGCUGUCCUGGUUCCCAAGUCACCCAGAGGGGACACGGCACAGCCAAGGGUCUGGGACCAGAGCCUGAGGGUCUCUGUACGCCCAUUUACAGGCACCCUGCAGACACAAUGAGGUCACGCGUGCGAGGCAUCAUUAAAACAGGUCUACGUCAAACACAUUCAGCCUUCCAUCUCGCCUGUGUCCCAGCAGAGCGGGAACAGCCCCUCAAUGUCCUCCCAACUGCACGUUAAAGCCAGCCAUGCAGGGAAGCAUCCUGUCUGUCAGAGAAGCAGAAAGGCUCUUGUUGCACCCACUGCUCUCCCCUGGGCCUGUGUCUCCAGGUGGGGCCCCUCUUCAGCCCACCAGGCUUGGGCUCUGUGCAGGAACACAGGGGCCCCAGCCCCGCCCCUUGGCCAUGCCAGGCUAGGGAGAAACGCCAGGGCAGAAGCCUGGCCCCGUGGCCACCAGCCCAGCCACACUGGCUGGAGACAGACAGAAGGAGAGACAGAAAAUGGCCAUGGGGCCACCUCGGCCUGCUCCUGUGCCUACUGCCAAGGACCUCCAGCACCUGCUCCUCGAGGGAGUCCCCGAGGGGGUACCCCAGGGCUCCCAUAUCAUGAAGGAAACAAAGGCAAAUUGGGGCCCCAUCUUGCGGCCCAACCCCGUUACGGCUGGGUGGGGGACACCAAGAGGCGGAUCACAGAAGGAGGGAAGGAAAAAGCCCGGCUGGGACCCCAUUUCUCGGAGUCCCCCAUCAGCCUAUGGCAACACGUCCUGGGUGCUGGCCACAGAAGGGAAAACUGAGGCCCAGGGUGCUCAGAGCUAAGAGGUGGCACGGCCAGCUCAGAGCGCUCACACCACUGCACAGCCUCUUGGGCAACCGAGGCCCCCAUGGGCACCCCCACCACUGCAGACAACCCAAGAGCCCCAGGGACACCUGACCUCGCCUCAGCUCCGGCACCCACCCCACUCAGGACACAAGCAGGAAAGCCCACAACCACCGUGCCCAGCUAGGAGUGAGGCCUCCCAGGAUGGACUGGAGUCUGAGGCUGCUCAUUGCCUGCUUCCCCAGGGGGACCAGGCGCGUCCAGAUGGAGUAUGUCGGAUUUCAGAACCCAGCGAGCCCACCAUUCCGGGGGGAUGGGGGAUCUCUCACACACACCCCCACCCCCAGAGCCUGGGAUGACGUCCCAAAUCAAACACAACAUUCCGCAAGGAAACAUACAAAUUUUCAUCCUAAGGAUAAAUAAGGAUCACAAAUGGCUUUUUCUCUGCUGCCAAGGGUCAGGUUUUGCUGUGGAAGAAUUAGGAAAAACAGCUCCACUCCCAGAGUUUCUGGUGUCCAAGGUGGAGCCGAGGACGGUGGCCGUGAGGACAGCUGCCCGUCACUGGGGUCAGCUUCUGCACCCAGCCUGGGACUCUAGCACGUCACAUGGGUCCAGCAAUCACGGGUGGGUGAGGGCGGGUGGGCGGCGGCCCCGGGACUCCACCGCCUGAGCCAGUUUGCUAGAGAUGCCUGCUUAAAAGUGA